CUGGCGGCGUGCCUAACACAUGCAAGUCGCACGAGAAAGUGGAGCAAUCCAUGAGUAAAGUGGCGCACGGGUGAGUAACACGUGAAUGAUCUACCUCCGAGUGGGGAAUAACCUAGAGAAAUCUGGGCUAAUACCGCAUAACACUUACGAGUCAAAGCAGCAAUGCGCUUGGAGAGGAGUUCGCGGCCGAUUAGUUAGUUGGCGGGGUAAUGGCCCACCAAGACGAUGAUCGGUAUCCGGCCUGAGAGGGCGCACGGACACACUGGAACUGAAACACGGUCCAGACUCCUACGGGAGGCAGCAGUGGGGAAUUUUGCGCAAUGGGGGAAACCCUGACGCAGCAACGCCGCGUGGAGGAUGAAAUCCCUUGGGAUGUAAACUCCUUUCGAUCGGGACGAUUAUGACGGUACCGGAAGAAGAAGCCCCGGCUAACUUCGUGCCAGCAGCCGCGGUAAUACGAGGGGGGCAAGCGUUGUUCGGAAUUAUUGGGCGUAAAGGGCGCGUAGGCGGUUUGACAAGUCUGAUGUGAAAUCUCUGGGCUCAACUCAGAGUCUGCAUUAAAAACUGUCGGGCUU
rnacentral:rRNA from 1 species